AGACGUCUACAUUAGAUACCCGGGUAGUCCCAGCCCUAAACGAUGCGCGUUAGGUGUAUCGGUGACCACGAGUCACCGAGGUGCCGAAGGGAAACCGUGAAACGUGCCGCCUGGGAAGUACGGUCGCAAGGCUGAAACUUAAAGGAAUUGCGGGGGAGCACCACAACGGGUGGAGCCUGCGGUUUAAUUGGACUCAACGCCGGGAAGCUCACCGGAUAAGACAGCGGAAUGAUUGCCGGGCUGAAGACCCUGCAUGACCAGCUG
rnacentral:rRNA from 1 species